CGGAGAACAAUAUUUUACGAACUGUCUUGGGAAAACCACGAUCACUUUCUACCGCUUUUAAAAAGCAUCAGGGGGGUGAUGACGAUUCCCAAGAAGACGGUGGUCGAUUGCGUCAAGUCUCUCGAUCGUGGGGAAUUGGGCCCUAGAUUUAUAGAAUUUCAGAUCCGAUAAUGAUACCUGUAAUAAUACUGCAAAGAUUCCACGAAACACUCGGCCUUUGACGGAGGUCCUGCGGUCAUCCAGAGGGACGAACCGUCCUGCGUUUUCCAACUCCAUAUCAAAUGACGCCUCGGAGAUGUCCCGAGAAAUCGAGACAGGAAACCCGCUACGCAAACGCUCUCCAUUGUCCCCCAGUAUGAGUGGAGAGCCGGUUUUAAUGGAGAUAAUCCUUCGGACUCUUUGAUGAAAGACUUCCUGGGAAUCAGCUGCGUCUCGUACUUCU
rnacentral:lncRNA from 1 species